rnacentral:rRNA from 1 species
GACAGAGGGGGCUAGCGUUGCUCGGAAUUACUGGGCGUAAAGCGCACGUAGGCGGCUUUCUAAGUCGGGGGUGAAAUCCUGGAGCUCAACUCCAGAACUGCCUUCGAUACUGGAAAGCUCGAGUCCGGGAGAGGUGAGUGGAACUGCGAGUGUAGAGGUGAAAUUCGUAGAUAUUCGCAAGAACACCAGUGGCGAAGGCGGCUCACUGGCCCGAUACUGACGCUGAGGCACGAAAGCGUGGGGAGCAAACAGG